CACAGUUUCAACUCUGAUGGAAGUGAGUUCCUGAGGAUAGGGGCAGUGCUGGAGAAGGAUCUGGAGCUACAUUCAUCCUGUCCACAUCCUGAGUCAGCUUAAUGCAUGAAGAAUGACCAAAGUGGUGCUGAGAUAUUUACCACUUUUGGCAACAACAGCAGG